UACGGGGGGAGCAAGCGUUGUUCGGAUUUACUGGGCGUAAAGGGCGCGUAGGCGGUCAGCACAAGUCAGUUGUGAAAUCUCCGGGCUUAACUCGGAAAGGUCAACUGAUACUGUGCGACUAGAGUGCAGAAGGGGCAACUGGAAUUCUCGGUGUAGCGGUGAAAUGCGUAGAUAUCGAGAGGAACACCUGCGGCGAAGGCGGGUUGCUGGGCUGACACUGACGCUGAGACGCGAAAGCCAGGGGAGCGAACGGG
rnacentral:rRNA from 1 species